AUAUCGGAACGUACCCAAGAGUGGGGAGUAACGUAGCGAAAGUUAACGCUAAUACCGCAUACGAUCCAUGGAUGGAAGCGGGGGAGUCGCAAGACCUCGUGCUCCUGGAGCGGCCGAUAUCUGAUUAGCUAGUUGGUAGGGUAAUGGCCUACCAAGGCGACGAUCAGUAGCUGGUCUGAGAGGACGACCAGCCACACUGGAACUGAGACACGGUCCAGACUCCUACGGGAGGCAGCAGUGGGGAAGUUUUGGUACAAUGGGCGCAAGCCUGAUGCAGCCAUGCCGCGUGUGUGAAGAAGG
rnacentral:rRNA from 1 species